rnacentral:rRNA from 1 species
GACAAACGCUGGCGGAAUGUAUUAGGCAUGCAAGUCGUACGAACCUUCGGGUUAGUGGCGAACGGGUGAGUAACACGUGGGUAACCUGCCUCGUAGUGGGGAAUAACUCGCCGAAAGGCGAGCUAAUACCGCAUAACACCCCCGGUGAGAAUCCGGGUGGUAAAAGCUCCGGCGCUACGAGAGGGGCCCGCGGCCGAUUAGCUAGUUGGUGGGGUAAUAGCCUACCAAGGCGACGAUCGGUAGCUGGUCUGAGAGGAUGGUCAGCCACACGGGGACUGAGAUACGGCCCCGACUCCUACGGGAGGCAGCAGCUAAGAAUCUUGCGCAAUGGGCGAAAGCCUGACGCAGCAAUUCCGCGUGGGGGACGAAGGCCCUCGGGUCGUAAACCCCCUUUUGUGAGGGAAGAAGUUCUGACGGUACCUCACGAAUAAGACACGGCUAACUACGUG